rnacentral:rRNA from 1 species
UACGGGAGGCAGCAGUGGGGAAUAUUGGGCAAUGGGCGAAAGCCUGACCCAGCAACGCCGCGUGAGUGAAGAAGGCUUUCGGGUUGUAAAGCUCUGUUAUAGAGGACGAAGGAAGUGACGGUACUCUAUAAGGAAGCCCCGGCUAACUACGUGCCAGCAGCCGCGGUAAU